rnacentral:rRNA from 1 species
UACGUAGGGUGCGAGCGUUAAUCGGAAUUACUGGGCGUAAAGCGUGCGCAGGCGGCUAUUUAAGCUUGCUGUGAAAGCCCCGGGCUUAACCUGGGAACUGCAGUGAGGACUGGAUGGCUGGAGUGUGGCAGAGGGGGGUGGAAUUCCACGUGUAGCAGUGAAAUGCGUAGAGAUGUGAAGGAACACCGAUGGCGAAGGCAGCCCCCUGGGCUAACACUGACGCUCAGGCACGAAAGCGUGGGGAGCAAACAGG